rnacentral:rRNA from 1 species
GAAUUUUGGACAAUGGGGGAAACCCUGAUCCAGCCAUCCCGCGUGUGCGUUGAAGGCCUUCGGGCUGUAAAGCACUUUUGGCAGGGCAGAAAAGGUUCUGGCUAAUAAUCAGAACUGCUGACGGUACCUGCAGAAUAAGCACCGGCUAACUACGUGCCAGCGGCCGCGGUAAUACGUAGGGUGCAAGCGUUAAUCGGAAUUACUGGGCGUAAAGCGUGCGCAGGCGGUUUGGCAAAAAGGAUGUGAAAUCCCGGGGCUUAACCUCGGAACGGCAUUCUUAACUGCCAGGAUAGAGUAUGUCAGAGGGGGGUAGAAUUCCACGUGUAGCAGUGAAAUGCGUAGAGAUGUGGAGGAAUACCGAUGGCGAAGGCAGCCCCCUGGGAUAAUACUGACGCUCAUGCACGAAAGCGUGGGGAGCAAACA